rnacentral:tRNA from 1 species
GACAGUUUGGCCGGGUGGUCUAAGGCGCUGUCUCAAGGCGCCAGUCCGAAAGGGCGUGGGUUCGAACCCCACAGCUGUCA